GAUGAACGCUGGUGGCGUGCCUAACACAUGCAAGUCGAGCGAUUCUCUUCGGAGAAGAGCGGCGGACGGGUGAGUAACGCGUGGGUAACCUGCCCUGUACACACGGAUAACAUACCGAAGGGUAUGCUAAUACGAGAUAACAUGCUUUUAUCGCAUGGUAGAAGUAUCAAAGCUUUUGCGGUACAGGAUGGACCCGCGUCUGAUUAGCUAGUUGGUGAGGUAACGGCUCACCAAGGCGACGAUCAGUAGCCGACCUGAGAGGGUGAUCGGCCACAUUGGAACUGAGACACGGUCCAAACUCCUACGGGAGGCAGCAGUGGGGAAUAUUGCACAAUGGGCGAAAGCCUGAUGCAGCAACGCCGCGUGAGCGAUGAAGGCCUUCGGGUCGUAAAGCUCUGUCCUCAAGGAAGAUAAUGACGGUACUUGAGGAGGAAGCCCCGGCUAACUACGUG
rnacentral:rRNA from 1 species